rnacentral:rRNA from 1 species
GAUGAACGCUGGCGGCGUGCCUAAUACAUGCAAGUCGAGCGAACAGACGAGGAGCUUGCUCCUCUGACGUUAGCGGCGGACGGGUGAGUAACACGUGGAUAACCUACCUAUAAGACUGGGAUAACUUCGGGAAACCGGAGCUAAUACCGGAUAAUAUAUUGAACCGCAUGGUUCAAUAGUGAAAGACGGUUUUGCUGUCACUUAUAGAUGGAUCCGCGCCGCAUUAGCUAGUUGGUAAGGUAACGGCUUACCAAGGCAACGAUGCGUAGCCGACCUGAGAGGGUGAUCGGUCACACUGGAGCUGAGAAACGGUCCAGACUCCUACGGGAGGCAGCAGUAGGGAAUCUUCCGCAAUGGGCGAAAGCCUGACGGAGCAGCGCCGCGUGAGUGAUGAAGGUCUUCGGAUCGUAAAACUCUGUUAUUAGGGAAGAACAAAUGUGUAAGUAACUAUGCACGUCUUGACGGUACCUAAUCAGAAAGCCACGGCUAACUACGUG